rnacentral:rRNA from 1 species
UACGUAGGCAGCAAGCGUUGUUCGGAAUUACCGGGCGUAAAGAGUGUGUAGGCGGCCAUUUAAGUUCGGUGUGAAAUCUCCCGGCUCAACCGGGAGGGUGCGCCGGAAACUGGAUGUGCUGGAGCGUGGGAGAGGAAAGCGGAAUUCCUGGUGUAGCGGUGAAAUGCGUAGAGAUCAGGAGGAACACCAGCGGUGUAGACGGCUUUCUGGACCAUGGCUGACGCUGAGACACGAAAGCGUGGGGAGCAAAUAGG